UACGUAGGGGGCAAGCGUUGUCCGGAAUCAUUGGGCGUAAAGAGCGUGUAGGCGGCCUGAUAAGUCGGUUGUGAAAGUCAAGGGCUCAACCCUUGAAUGCCGACCGAUACUGUCAGGCUAGAGUCCGGAAGAGGCGAGUGGAAUUCCUGGUGUAGCGGUGAAAUGCGCAGAUAUCAGGAAGAACACCCGUGGCGAAGGCGGCUCUCUGGGACGGUACUGACGUUGAGACGCGAAAGCGUGGGGAGCGAACAGG
rnacentral:rRNA from 1 species